rnacentral:rRNA from 1 species
GGAAUUAUUGGGCGUAGCGGGCUCGCAGGCGGUUUCUUAAGUCUGAUGUGAAAGCCCCCGGCUCAACCGGGGAGGGUCAUUGGAAACUGGGAAACUUGAGUGCAGAAGAGGAGAGUGGAAUUCCACGUGUAGCGGUGAAAUGCGUAGAGAUGUGGAGGAACACCAGUGGCGAAGGCGACUCUCUGGUCUGUAACUGACGCUGAGGAGCGAAAGCGUGGGGAGCGAACAGGAUUAGAUACCCUGGUAGUCCACGCCGUAAACGAUGAGUGCUAAGUGUUAGGGGGUUUCCGCCCCUUAGUGCUGCAGCUAACGCAUUAAGCACUCCGCCUGGGGAGUACGGUCGCAAGACUGAAACUCAAAGGAAUUGACGGGGGCCCGCACAAGCGGUGGAGCAUGUGGUUUAAUUCGAAGCAACGCGAAGAACCUUACCAGGUCUUGACAUCCUCUGACGGGCCGAGAGAUAGGGCUUUCCCUUCGGGCACAGAGUGACAGGUGGUGCAUGGUUGUCGUCAGCUCGUGUCGUGAGAUGUUGGGUUAAGUCCCGCAACGAUCGCAACCCUUGAUCUUAGUUGCCAGCAUUCAAUUGGGCACUCUAAGGUGACUGCCGGUGACAAACCG